UCCACUCCGAACUGCAGGGUUAUAUAAUCGAUUCGUAUUAUUAUGUAAAUGUCGUCAUUACAAAUAUUAUCAGAAAUGCGUGUAUAAGAGUAUAAAACCUUAGCAGAUUAUAAAAUAUUUUAAAGUAUUCCAAUAUCUUUUGUUGAGGCCUGUUGCAUUUUUUUCGAUCUUCAGCAUUAAUAUGAAACUAUUUCUGUUUGUACUUGUAGCUGGAUACAUUGCAGCCGGUGUAUUGGCUGAUCCAGAAGAACCCUGUUUCGUAAACUCUGGUUAUGCUACUUUAAGAAGAAAAGAUUUUCAUUGAUUAAAAAAUCAUUCAAUGAAACAAAAAUGUUGUUUAAAUUUGCAAAAUGAUUGUUACUGAA